AGAAAAAGAAAAGGCAAACUCACGCAGACUCCUGUCACUGCCUCACUCUCUUCCUCUCUCAUCUCGCCGAACGCUCUCUCGGCGCCGUCACCCGGCGGUUCGAUCCCUCCGCCGCCGUACGACCUCUCGCGCCACUGCUAGGCGCCGAGCCCACGCGCUCGCAGAUCCGCGAUCCUCGGCAGUCAGAUUCGACUUGGAUGGACGGAAGAGCUCGCUGUCUGGAUCUAGGUGGCACUACCUCCCUUAGAGCUGGUCGUGGGAGAAGCUGUCACGCAUCUUGCGGCCUGCCGCCGCCGCAGGUUAGCUGCUCCCGCCGGCCGCAUGCCCCACUCCCCGGCCGCCGCGCUCCGCUGUGGCGCUGCUGACUCUCCUGCUCGUCGCGUGGUGGUCUCAUCUCCCCGGUCGCCCUUCUCAUUUGCAUCCAGCCACAGCUCUGCCUCCUUCCUCAUGCCGCUCGAGUUGUUCCAGUGAGGCUACAGAGCAGUCUACAACUGUAUGAGCCAGAGCUAUUUACUGGUCUGAUUUCUCCUGGGUAUACUCUGCUUUCGGGUGUCUGAUCUGAUGAUAAGAAUAUUGUGUCAACGGUCAACCUGGUCUGUAAAUUGGAACUAGAAGCAAUAGCUCUCCAGGCACGCAAUGUAGAGUAUAACCCCAAGGUAAAAUCAUUAUCCUAAUGCAUUCUUCAUGAUGUUUGCUUUUUCUCUUAUUGGGCUUGUGAUGCUAUAGUUCCAAAAACAUCCAAAUUUUAUCACUUUGCUAGCAUCCUUUGUGAAUCCUGGUGUGUAGACGGUGGAUAGCCUGGUAAAAGAGUAGAGACUUUGUACAUGGGUUCUUUUGUGUACCCUUCUGAAUUUGUGCUCAUUCGCUGAGAAAAUAGAGAACAAUAGCUUACUAAAUAGUUUUGAUCCAA